UCUCAUUGCUAGUUUCAUGGAUGUAUCCUGUGGCUUCUCCAUGAGAUAAUGAAGUUCUUGAAAGUGGGAGUGUCAUUUACACUCCUACCUGCAGACAGCACCUGAUACAGAGUAUAAAGCAUUGGCUGAAUGCGUGAAUCUUAGUUCCCGCUUUUCACCUUAGCAUCCUGACUACCGAUGCCCUGAACACACAUGGUGAAUUUGGCUGAAAUGAAGCAUUCUGUGCCUGCCCCACAAACCACCAAGGGACUGUGGGUUUAUUUGUCUCAAGAUGGUCAACACUGCUGUUUUCACAUUUUACUUGCUGUCAAAUAUAAAGAGAUAUCAUA
rnacentral:lncRNA from 10 species